rnacentral:rRNA from 1 species
UACGGGGGGAGCAAGCGUUGUUCGGAUUCAUUGGGCGUAAAGGGCGCGUAGGCGGCGGGGUCAGUCGGGUGUGAAAUCUUGGGGCUUAACCCCGAAACGGCACUCGAAACUGCCCGGCUGGAGGGCCGGAGAGGAGAUCGGAAUUCACGGUGUAGCAGUGAAAUGCGUAGAGAUCGUGAGGAAGACCCGUGGCGAAGGCGGAUCUCUGGACGGCUAACUGGCGCUGAGGCGCGAAGGCCAGGGGAGCAAACGGG